UCCGGCUUAUCACCGGCAGUUUCUUUAGAGUGCUCAACUGAAUGGUAGCAACUAAAGACGAGGGUUGCGCUCGUUGCGGGACUUAACCCAACAUCUCACGACACGAGCUGACGACAACCAUGCACCACCUGUGCACGACCCUUACGGACCCCCCAUCUCUGGAGGAUUUCCGUGCAUGUCAAGCCUAGGUAAGGUUCUUCGCGUUGCAUCGAAUUAAGCAACACGCUCCGCUGCUUGUGCGGGCCCCCGUCAAUUCCUUUGAGUUUUAGUCUUGCGACCGUACUCCCCAGGCGGGGCGCUUAAUGCGUUAGCUGCGGCGCGGAAACCGUGGAAGGUCCCCACACCUAGCGCCCAACGUUUACGGCGUGGACUAC
rnacentral:misc_RNA from 1 species